rnacentral:rRNA from 1 species
AGAGUUUGAUCCUGGCUCAGGAUGAACGCUAGCUACAGGCUUAACACAUGCAAGUCGAGGGGCAGCAUGGUCUUAGCUUGCUAAGGCCGAUGGCGACCGGCGCACGGGUGAGUAACACGUAUCCAACCUGCCGUCUACUCUUGGACAGCCUUCUGAAAGGAAGAUUAAUACAAGAUGGCAUCAUGAGUCCGCAUGUUCACAUGAUUAAAGGUAUUCCGGUAGACGAUGGGGAUGCGUUCCAUUAGAUAGUAGGCGGGGUAACGGCCCACCUAGUCUUCGAUGGAUAGGGGUUCUGAGAGGAAGGUCCCCCACAUUGGAACUGAGACACGGUCCAAACUCCUACGGGAGGCAGCAGUGAGGAAUAUUGGUCAAUGGGCGAGAGCCUGAACCAGCCAAGUAGCGUGAAGGAUGACUGCCCUAUGGGUUGUAAACUUCUUUUAUAAAGGAAUAAAGUCGGGUAUGCAUACCCGUUUGCAUGUACUUUAUGAAUAAGGAUCGGCUAACUCCGUGCCAGCAGCCGCGGUAAUACGGAGGAUCCGAGCGUUAUCCGGAUUUAUUGGGUUUAAAGGGAGCGUAGAUGGAUGUUUAAGUCAGUUGUGAAAGUUUGCGGCUCAACCGUAAAAUUGCAGUUGAUACUGGAUAUCUUGAGUGCAGUUGAGGCAGGCGGAAUUCGUGGUGUAGCGGUGAAAUGCUUAGAUAUCACGAAGAACUCCGAUUGCGAAGGCAGCCUGCUAAGCUGCAACUGACAUUGAGGCUCGAAAGUGUGGGUAUCAAACAGGAUUAGAUACCCUGGUAGUCCACACGGUAAACGAUGAAUACUCGCUGUUUGCGAUAUACAGCAAGCGGCCAAGCGAAAGCGUUAAGUAUUCCACCUGGGGAGUACGCCGGCAACGGUGAAACUCAAAGGAAUUGACGGGGGCCCGCACAAGCGGAGGAACAUGUGGUUUAAUUCGAUGAUACGCGAGGAACCUUACCCGGGCUUAAAUUGCAGAUGAAUUACGGUGAAAGCCGUAAGCCGCAAGGCAUCUGUGAAGGUGCUGCAUGGUUGUCGUCAGCUCGUGCCGUGAGGUGUCGGCUUAAGUGCCAUAACGAGCGCAACCCUUGUUGUCAGUUACUAACAGGUCAUGCUGAGGACUCUGACAAGACUGCCAUCGUAAGAUGUGAGGAAGGUGGGGAUGACGUCAAAUCAGCACGGCCCUUACGUCCGGGGCUACACACGUGUUACAAUGGGGGGUACAGAGGGCCGCUACCACGCGAGUGGAUGCCAAUCCCCAAAACCUCUCUCAGUUCGGACUGGAGUCUGCAACCCGACUCCACGAAGCUGGAUUCGCUAGUAAUCGCGCAUCAGCCACGGCGCGGUGAAUACGUUCCCGGGCCUUGUACACACCGCCCGUCAAGCCAUGGGAGCCGGGGGUACCUGAAGUGCGUAACCGCGAGGAGCGCCCUAGGGUAAAACUGGUGACUGGGGCUAAGUCGUAACAAGGUA